AUAUGCUCACGUGGAAAAGAAGAAGAGAAUGCGUUCUUCUUAUGCACCGCCAGAAGCUGGUUAAGGUUUUCUGCUUUCACAUGCCACAUUACAGAUCUGUUGAAUGUGCUAGGAGGGGGACAAAGGACGGGCUCCUGAUAAAGUUCAGGGUUAGAAAUAAUUAGAUUUACAGGCAAUGAAUACAGCGACCAAAAUUGCAUGAACCUGUAGGACCGGUUUGGGGAUCUCUGUGCAUACAAGGUAAUCAGACAACUGGGUAUGAGGAAGCAAAUGAACAAGGGGCGGCAAUGGCUUGAGAAGACAUCUACAGAGGAGCCAAAGCAGAGACAUUGCAAGCAGAAAGAUUUCCUUUUGGCCCUGUGACCUUUAGGAAAUCAUGUUUUCCCAAGCAUGAUAUCGCAGUUGCUGCGAUACUUAUUUCAGCAUUCUUUAGGAUAUAGAGACAAAGAUCAUAGUCACAGAGGGAGAUGAAAAAUGGCCUUUGAAGCAGGCACGUCAUGGAGAGUUGGAGAAGAUAUGAUUCUCCUGUCCUGUUCUUAUUUGCCAGCAGUAUUUUAGUAGCACUUAAAAUUCACAGCUGAAGAGUUCGUUUGAUGAAAAGAAGCUUUACAGACUUUCUAAGCCAACCUCCAAAAAUCUGAAAUACAAACCAAGAUAAAAAAUUGUAGAAAAACAGAAUUCUGGAGCAGAUGGUGUCAACACUGGUGGGCAAUUUCCCACAAAAAAAAAGCUAUUAUUUGCCAAAAGAUGUGGUUCUGUGCAACCUGGACUAGUAGAAAAGUGAAAUCAAGUUCAGCAAAUAGUUUCAUCAGAUCCUUCGGAGAAUUCAACACUUUCUCUUCUACCUGCUCAUCCAGAAAACAGCCUUUCCUAACUGACUCUAUGGGAUUGUGAGGUGGGAAUCUCUUCUAUUUCAUACUAUAAACUGAGGCAGUGAUGGUGACGGAGAUUAAAAAGAAGAGAUGCUCCAUUUCCAAGUGUUCUAACCAACUAGAUAUAUCAUUGAAAGAGCUCUGCUCUACUGUCAGAAGCAGGAGGUUAAGUACAGAGAACUUAAUUGAUUUCUAUUUCCACUGCAUUUUUGAACAUCUAGUUUGGAAACUCAAGGCCUAGAAAAUAGAAUGCAUAGUUCAGAUAAAAUUCUGUCAGGAGAUUAAAGGAAACAUUUCCAGGGACAUUUAUUAGUUUGCUUGGAGAUAUCAAGAAAGCAAAUAUUUAAAUUUUGUUACAUAUUUCACUUUCUUUUUUGCUUUGUUUGUUUUUUGGUUGGUUGGAUUGGUUUUGGGGUUUUUUUUGUUUGUUUGUUUGUUUUUGAGUUAGGUACCACUAUCCCUCUCAAAUACAGAAGACAAUGACACCUCCAAACAAGCUAAUUUUCAUUGUUACAGAAACAUUAUUUAGAUAGGAAUGAAGAUCUUGGUAUCUUAAUGUCUAAAUUUCAACCCCACUUCUAUCAUCUCAGAUUAUUCCUUAAAAUUUCUUUUUAGCUAAAAUACCUUCCUGAGACUUCAUGUCUCUGAGUAGAUUAUCAUUAGCUCAGAGAAGAAACGUUAGUUCCCCGUAUAAAUAUUUUUAGAGCCAUACGUUUUUGACAAUCCAUUCUUUUGAU
ensembl:lncRNA